rnacentral:rRNA from 1 species
AUUGAACGCUGGCGGCAUGCCUUACACAUGCAAGUCGAACGGUAACAGGUUAAGCUGUCGAGUGGCGAACGGGUGAGUAAUACAUCGGUACGUGCCCAGUAGUGGGGGAUAGCCCGGCGAAAGCCGGAUUAAUACCGCAUACGACCUAAGGGGGAAAGGGGGGGAUCGCAAGACCUCUCGCUAUUGGAGCGGCCGAUGUCAGAUUAGCUAGUUGGUGGGGUAAAAGCUCACCAAGGCGACGAUCUGUAGCUGGUCUGAGAGGACGACCAGCCACACUGGGACUGAGACACGGCCCAGACUCCUACGGGAGGCAGCAGUGGGGAAUUUUGGACAAUGGGCGCAAGCCUGAUCCAGCCAUGCCGCGUGCGGGAAGAAGGCCUUCGGGUUGUAAACCGCUUUUGUCAGGGAAGAAAUCCUUUGGGUUAAUACCUCGGGGGGAUGACGGUACCUGAAGAAUAAGCACCGGCUAACUACGUG